UUAGAGCGCGAAGUGGUUGAUGCCAUGCUUCCAAGAAAAGCUCCUAAGCUUCAGAUAACUGGGAACCGUACCCCAAACCGACACAGGUGGUUAGGUAGAGAAUACCAAGGCGCUUGAGAGAACUCGGGUGAAGGAACUAGGCAAAAUGGCACCGUAACUUCGGGAGAAGGUGCGCCGGUGAGGGUGAAGCACUUGCUGCGUAAGCCCACGCCGGUCGAAGAUACCAGGCCGCUGCGACUGUUUAUUAAAAACACAGCACUCUGCAAACACGAAAGUGGACGUAUAGGGUGUGACGCCUGCCCGGUGCCGGAAGGUUAAUUGAUGGGGUUAGCGCAAGCGAAGCUCUUGAUCGAAGCCCCGGUAAACGGCGGCCGUAACUAUAACGGUCCUAAGGUAGCGAAAUUCCUUGUCGGGUAAGUUCCGACCUGCACGAAUGGCGUAACGAUGGCGGCGCUGUCUCCACCCGAGACUCAGUGAAAUUGAAAUCGCUGUGAAGAUGCAGUGUAUCCGCGGCUAGACGGAAAGACCCCGUGAACCUUUACUAUAGCUUUGCACUGGACUUUGAGCUUGCUUGUGUAGGAUAGGUGGGAGGCUUUGAAGUGGGGACGCCAGUUCUCAUGGAGCCAUCCUUGAAAUACCACCCUGGCAACCUUGAGGUUCUAACUCAGGUCCGUUAUCCGGAUCGAGGACAGUGUAUGGUGGGUAGUUUGACUGGGGCGGUCUCCUCCCAAAGAGUAACGGAGGAGUACGAAGGUGCGCUCAGACCGGUCGGAAAUCGGUCGUAGAGUAUAAAGGCAAAAGCGCGCUUGACUGCGAGACACACACGUCGAGCAGGUACGAAAGUAGGUCUUAGUGAUCCGGUGGUUCUGUAUGGAAGGGCCAUCGCUCAACGGAUAAAAGGUACUCCGGGGAUAACAGGCUGAUACCGCCCAAGAGUUCAUAUCGACGGCGGUGUUUGGCACCUCGAUGUCGGCUCAUCACAUCCUGGGGCUGAAGCCGGUCCCAAGGGUAUGGCUGUUCGCCAUUUAAAGUGGUACGCGAGCUGGGUUUAGAACGUCGUGAGACAGUUCGGUCCCUAUCUGCCGUGGACGUUUGAGAUUUGAGAGGGGCUGCUCCUAGUACGAGAGGACCGGAGUGGACGAACCUCUGGUGUUCCGGUUGUCACGCCAGUGGCAUUGCCGGGUAGCUAUGUUCGGAAGAGAUAACCGCUGAAAGCAUCUAAGCGGGAAACUUGCCUCAAGAUGAGAUCUCACUGGAGCCUUGAGCUCCCUGAAGGGCCGUCGAAGACUACGACGUUGAUAGGUUGGGUGUGUAAGCGCUGUGAGGCGUUGAGCUAACCAAUACUAAUUGCCCGUGAGGCUUGACCAUAUAACACCCAAGCAAUU
rnacentral:rRNA from 1 species